rnacentral:lncRNA from 1 species
AACAAGGCCUUUGUCGAAAUGAGUCACUGCCAACCCCUUCUUCUAGAAGCGACGCAUGCUGUAGAAAUCUGUUCAUACAAAAUAAAAAAUCAACUUUUAAAAAUAGGAAAAAAAUAUUUUAAUUAUAGGCAAGGCUCACUGGAUGACUUAAAUCUAAUUACUUUUGAAUAGGGAUGUACUGCAUGUUUAUUUCAUAAAACCCAAGGGACCUUUUUGCAAAAGUGGC